AUUGAACGCUGGCGGCAGGCCUAACACAUGCAAGUCGAGCGGAUGAAGGGAGCUUGCUCCUGGAUUCAGCGGCGGACGGGUGAGUAAUGCCUAUGAAUCUGCCUGGUAGUGGGGUAUAACGUCCGGAAACGGGCGCUAAUACCGCAUACGUCCUGAUGGAGAAGGUGGGGGAUCUUCGGACCUCACGCUAUCAGAUGAGCCUAGGUGGGAUUAGCUAGUUGGUGGGGUAAAGGGCUACCAAGGCGACGAUCCGUAACUGGACUGAGAGGAUGAUCAGUCACACUGGAAGUGAGACACGGUCCAGACUCCUACGGGAGGCAGCAGUGGGGAAUAGUGGACAAUGGGCGAAAGCCUGAUACAGCCAUGCCGCGUGUGUGAAGAAGGUCUUCGGAUUGUAAAGCACUUUAAGUUGGGAGGAAGGGCAGUAAGUUAAUACCUUGCUGUUUUGACGUUACCAACAGAAUAAGCACCGGCUAACUUCGUG
rnacentral:rRNA from 1 species